UACGGGGGGGGCAAGCGUUGUUCGGAAUUACUGGGCGUAAAGGGCUCGUAGGCGGCCAACUAAGUCGGAUGUGAAAUCCCCAGGCUCAACCUGGGAACUGCAUCCGAUACUGGAUGGCUUGAAUCCGGGAGAGGGAUGCAGAAUUACAGGUGUAGCGGUGAAAUGCGUAGAUAUCUGGAGGAAUACCGGUGGCGAAGGCGGCAUCCUGGACCGGCAUUGACGCUGAGGAGCGAAAGCUAGGGGAGCAAACGGG
rnacentral:rRNA from 1 species